rnacentral:siRNA from 1 species
AUCUGGGAUGGCGUCCGUGAGCCU